CUAGAAUUUUCCCGUACAAAAUUAUAAAAGUGCGUUCACAUUUGAGUAAACUUACAUGAUUUAAUAAAAACCCUCGGUUCAACGGAUUGUGUUUAUUAAAGAUAAAUGCUGUUGACGCAGUUGCCAGGAGCGGUGCUGAAAGUAAAGUAGUUGAAAUACAGAUGCCCUUUCUGAGAACAAUAUUUUUAAUACAGUACUUAUAGGGAUGAUCACUUAAACUAUGGGUGGCAGU